rnacentral:lncRNA from 1 species
CAUCGGCAUCUACACCUGCUUGUUUCAUGCUUUCCCACGUGGAUCUUGGGAAAAGAAGAUAAAAGUUGUCCAGUCAGUUUUGAGACAACAGCACCCUUGGAUAGCUACCUGUCUGCAGAACCUGGACAAAAUGUCACACUCAGUUGCCAGCUUGAAAGGACUUGGCUAGUGCAACUAGUCAUAUGGGAAAAAGUCCAGCCCCAUCAGGUGGAACCAAUAACCACUUUAUCCUUCUCAUUGUCGGAGGGCUAGCCUCACUGCUACUUGUCAUCCUAAUUACCAUCAUUAUUAUCUUAUUCAACAGGAAGAGAAGGAGACAGGUGAGAACUCCGCUUAAAGAGCUCAGAGAUAAACAGAGUAAGGUA